rnacentral:rRNA from 1 species
AUGCAUGCAAGUCGUACGCACGCGCUUCGGCGCGUGAGUGGCGCACGGCUGAGUAACACGUGGGAACCCGCCCUCCGGUGGGGGAUAACGCGACGAAAGUCGCGCUAAUCCCGCAUACGUCCGCAAGGGGAAAGCGCUUCGGCGCGCCGGAGGAGGGGCCUGCGGCCCAUCAGGUGGUUGGUGGGGUAACGGCCUACCAAGCCGAUGACGGGUAGCUGGUCUGGGAGGAUGACCAGCCAGACUGGGACUGAGACACGGCCCAGACUCCUACGGGAGGCAGCAGCAAGGAAUUUUCGGCAAUGGGCGCAAGCCUGACCGAGCAACGCCGCGUGCGGGAUGACGGCCUUCGGGUUGUAAACCGCUUUUCGGGGGGACGACUACGACGGUACCCCCGGAAGAAGCCCCGGCUAACUCUGUGCCAGCAGCCGCGGUAAGACAGAGGGGGCGAGCGUUGUCCGGAGUUACUGGGCGUAAAGCGCGCGCAGGCGGUGGUCUCAGUGUCGUGUGAAAGCCCCCGGCUCAACCGGGGGAGGUCAUGGCAAACUAGACGACUGGAGCGGCGGAGAGGCCCCUCGAAUUGCCGGUGUAGCGGUGAAAUGCGUAGAGAUCGGCAGGAAGACCAA